rnacentral:rRNA from 1 species
UACAGAGGGUGCAAGCGUUAAUCGGAAUCACUGGGCUUAAAGCGUUCGUAGGCGGGUCUGCAGGCGCGUUGUGAAAGCCCCCGGCUCAACCGGGGAACUGCUUCGCGAACCGUAGAUCUUGAGUCAAGUAGGGGCGGUCGGAACGAUAGGUGGAGCGGUGAAAUGCGUAGAUAUCUAUCGGAACGCCGAAGGUGAAGACAGGCCGCUGGGCUUGUACUGACGCUGAGGAACGAAAGCGUGGGGAGCAAAC